AUUGAACGCUGGCGGCAGGCCUAAUACAUGCAAGUCGAACGAGUGGCGGACGGGCGAGCAAUGUCUGGGAAACUGCCUGAUGGAGGGGGAUAACUACUGGAAACGGUAGCUAAUACCGCAUACCAUCAGAUGUGCCCAGUCGGGAUUAGCUUGUGGGUGGGGUAACGGCUCACCAAGGCGUCGAUCCCUAGCUGGUCUGAGAGGCUGACCAGCCACACUGGAACUGAGACACGGUCCAGACUCCUACGGGAGGCAGCAGUGGGGAAUAUUGCGCAAUGGGCGAAAGCCUGAUGCAGCCAUGCCGCGUGUAUGAAGAAGGCCUUCGGAUUGUAAAGUACUUUCAGCGGGGAAGCGGUACCCGCAGAAAAAGCACCGGCUAACUCCGUGCCAGCAGCCGCGGUAAUUC
rnacentral:rRNA from 1 species